AGGGUGAGGGACGGUGUGACUAGUGACAGAGAGAGGGAGGGGGUGACUAGUGACAGAGUGAGGGAGGUUGUGAUUAGUGACAGAGGGAGGGAUGAGGUGACUAGUGACAGUCACCACCUCCUUCACUCUGUCACUAGUCACCCCCUUCCUCACUCUGUCAUUGUGUCACCCCCUUCCUCACUCUGUCAUUGUGUCACCCCCUUUCUCACUCU